GAUGAAAUUAACAUUGUGCACAGUUUUCAGCAAGUUGCAUCAUACAGAAAUACAUUUUUCCAUAAACAAGCUCUAAAUCAUGUUUGAUGCACUCUGGAUGUCCAAUUGUUGUUGUGCUGUUUAUUCGAGACAAUAUGAACAAGGUGGACAAUUUUCAGCAAGUUGCAUCAUACAGAAAUACAUUUUCCCAUAAACAAGCUCUAAAUCAUGUUUGAUGCACUCUGGAUGUCCAAUUGUUGUUGUGCUGUUUAUUCGAGACAAUAUGAACAAGGUGGACAAUUUUCAGCAAGUUGCAACAUUGAAAUGCAGAAAUAAGCACUUUUCCAUAAACAAGCUCUAAAUCAUG